ensembl:lncRNA
CCGGUCCGUUUCACCGUUACCCGUGCGGGUAUCUCGAGCGAUUAUCAUUUAAUUCGGCUUCAGGUAGCUGACUGUGAGUGUGAGACAAAGAGAAGGCACCCAGAGUCGAGGGGAGAUGCUGAGACUGCGGGAGCUGAGAGAGGAGGCAGACGCGUGACCCGAGCGAGCUGCAGCGAGGGCACCUGGACACAUCUGCCAUAACGGCAUUUCUGUCACGUGACACGUGCAUCGUGAGACGUGAGCAGCUCCCACCUGGAUGGUGGAGCAGCGUCGCUUUCGCUGCAAACGGAAGGUGACGCAGAAAGCACAUGCCACAGCAUAUUUUCGCAUGUUACGUCCUCAUCAAAGAAAGCUACAGGGCCGACUUGCAAGAUCAAAAAGGAUGAUUCCAAAUCCGAACAGUACACGGCCACGCCCCCUGACCACAGCCCUCCCAGCAUCCCUGCUCCUCAUCACCCGCUCAGAGCGGUGUGUGAUGCAGUGUUGGAGGAUGUCCUAAGUUUCCCAGAGUUCGAGUGUUUCUAUCAAGAACACAGCUGAGAUGAACGAAGGGUGACACAGAGGAGGAGGAUGAGAAGAAGGAGAUGAUCACCUAAACUAAGGUUUCGGGGCUGACGGAACCUCAGCUGCGUUACAGGGCACCGAGGAAAUACCAUAAAAAAAGGAAUGGUUCGCAUAGGUUGAGAAGGAGGGAGAGAGAGGGGUGGGGAAGCGUACCGUGUAAGACAUAAUAUUUAAUCUUACCAGGAUUGUUUUUCAAUUAAACUCUUUCUCUGAAAGCCCCAUUCUAGUUUUUGAUGAUGCAUGGAUUUCUGGGGCAAGAGAUUGAUUUGUGUUCAAGUAGUCACUGUCUCUUAAAGCUUUGCAAACCAUAGGCCAUAUUGGAGCACGAGCGCUGAGCGAAACCCCUUCGAUACAGUGCAAGACAAAAAGUUAGUUAACAAUAUCAUUACAUCUUUUCACACGGCAGACCGUUGACCUGCCCGGUGGGUAAUAUGCCACAGAAUUCUGACACUCCUUCCAGUACUGAAAUACAUCAUAAUAAUGACACUUCCAAAGGUUUGGACAGUUGCAGUUUUCAUUAUUAUGAUGUUUUUCAACAACUACGAAAACAUGGGACCGUGAUUUUACUCCAGUAACUGCAGGCUGAUAUCUUCAAGAAAUAUAUCUGGAUUUACUCUACAAAAAACAUAUCAAAUAAACCCACAUAUUUCUGUAUUCCCGUCUUUGCC